rnacentral:misc_RNA from 1 species
GUUAGUUUUCUCUUUAAUUGUAAUCUAGUUAGUUACUUUGAUUUCUAGAGGACAUAUGCUUUAGAGGAUUUCAAGAGCCAUCUGUCUGAGAAAGAUUCGCGAUACGAUCUGGGGCCCUUCAAGAAAGAAUACUUAGGAUGUGAUAUUCAAAGGGGGACCAUAAUCCGGCCUCCCACGAUGUUCCUAAAUUUAACAUUUCUUAUGAAUUAUGAGAGGCUUGUACACAGUUUUCGAACCCUAGCCAACUGUGUUUUAUAAAACGUCGGCCCACGUGCGCACGAGCGCAAUCGACGCGAUGAAUUGAUUGGUACA